rnacentral:lncRNA from 1 species
CAAGGGUAUCGAAGUAUGUUGAAAAUUUAUUUCAUAGGUGUAGUUUGGUUUCAAAACGAAGUAGCAUCGCUCAAGAUGAUCUAAAUGUAAAAAUAGACUUGUUUAAACAGUAUAUUUAAAAGCUGUGAACUUAUAUUUGCAUGGAAACAGUCUAUUGAAUCCAGGUAUCGAGGCAUGAUGGAAAUUGAUAUAGGCGCACUUACAAUAAUACACAAAGUAGCAUGGGUUGAGAUGAUAUAUAUAUCGACAAAAAAUGGUCAAAACGGUGUGAUCAAAAGGAGUUGAAUAAGAUAAAAAUACUGGUGUGCCAUUUAACCAAGAAGUAUAGUGAAAAGUGUUUAUAAGGACAUACUUACAGUGGUAUUCGAAGAAGCUCCAUAUGUCGUGAGUUAUGUAAAUAGAGUGAAACGUUGGCCGUAACGGUAUGGUUGAUAGGGAUUGAAUGAAAAGCGUGUAACGACACACCAUUGUACGAGCAUAUCGAAGCACAUAGGAAAUUUAUUUCAUAGGCGUACUUUGGUGUUCAGUGAAGUAGAGAUGGUCUAGACGUAAAGAAAGACUGUUGUUUAAACGGUAUGGUUGAAAGCUAUCAAAUUAAACAUGCAUUGAAAUAGUCUAUUGAAUAGAGGAAUGAUGGAAGUUGGUAUAGGCGCAUUUACAACGGGGGUACACCAAGAAGUAGCAUGGGUCGAGAUGGUAUAUAUAAAAAUAAAAGCUUUUGAAGUGGUGUGAUCGAAAGGAGUUCAGUGAGAUACAAAUACUGAUCUGCCAUUUAACCAAGUUAUAGAAGCAUAGUGAAAAUUGUUUAUAUAGACGUAGAUACAGUGGUAUUUGAGAAAUCUCCAUAUGGUCGUGAUGGUACAUAAAUAGCAAGAAACGCUGGCUGUACCCGUACGGUUUGAAGGAGUUGAUGUACGAGUAACAGUACGCUAUUGAACCAAGUAAUCGAAGCAUGGUGGAAAUUGAUGGACGCAUUUACAUUGGUAUUCAACGUAGGACAAAGUGGUGAGACCAUGAAUUACUGCAGUUUUUGAAAUGGUAUGGUGAAAAAGGGAGUUGAAUGAAAUACCAGUAAGCGUGGUGGAAAUAUAUUUCUAAGCGUACUUACAGUGCUAUGCGAUCAAGUGUAGUGUUGGUCGAGGCUGUUUAUGUAUGGUGUGUGAAAUUUAUUCUUGUAAAUCGAUAAGCCCGCUGUUCAAUCGAAAUAUCACUGUAUACCUGAAGUUUGUUUCAUAGACGUGGCUAUAUGGUAUUUGAGAAAAAGAAACUGGACAAUACAUAUAUAUAUAAAUAAUGAAAAAGAGUGGUUGAAAUGAUAAAGUUGAAAUCAGUGCAAUGAGCAGUCAAUAACAAGAGGCAUUUAUUCAGAAUAUCGCAGUAUACGAGAAACUGGCUUCAUAGACAUGCAUAUAUUGGUGCUUGUAAAAUAGGAUGGGUCGAGAUGUAUAUCAAUAAUGCGAGACAUUGGAUUACAGAAUGUUGUUGAAAUCAGUACAACGAAAAAUGGUUAAUACUUGAAACAUGAAUGUCACAGUCCCCCAUAAAAUAUUUUCAAUGGCUUGUAUGUAAUGGCAGUUUGAAUAAUUGGCGUGGGUUGGUUUGCAAGGUGAUGUGAAAAGGUGGUUGGAAUCCGUGCAGUAUGAUGCAGCGAUAUGCUUUUGAAGGAAAGAUCACAGUAAAAGUUGAAUUCAUAAACGUCCUUAUCUUAAAAUUCAAUCUAGUAGCGUGAGUUGAGUUUGUAUAUAUGUAACGAAAAACUGCUAGUUGAAAAGAUAUGAAUAACAAUGACGCGCGUUUGAACUGAGGUAUCGAAACGUGGUGGUAAUUGAUUUUAUAAACGUUUUAGGCUGGUAUACGAAGAAGUACCAUGGAUUAGGAGGGUAUAUAUAUAUAUAUAAAAAAAUAUUUUGUAAUGGAGUGUUCAAAACCACUUGAAAGAGAUACAAAUAAUAGAAUUGUGGUGAAAAUUGAUUUCAUAGACGUAGUUACAGUGGUAUUCAAAGAACCUUCGUAGGCCGUUAUCGUACAUAAGAGGAAAACUGUGGCCAUAUGAUGCACUAUUGCCUGAGGAUAAGGAAGCACGUUGGAAAUUUAUUUCAUAGGUGUACUUUGGUGCUCAGCGAAGUAGCAUCAAUAGAGUUUGUCUACACGUAAAGAAAGACUGUUGUUUAAAAGGUAUAUUUGAAAGCUGUCAAAUUAUAUAUGCAUACAAAUAGUCUUUUGAAUCAAGGAAUGAUGGCAGUUGAUAUAGGUGCAAUUACAACGGUACAUCAAGAAGUUGCAUGGGCUGAGAUGCUACACAUAAAAGAAACUGUUGAAACGGAGUGAUCAAAGGGAGUUCAAUGAGAAAGAAAUGAUGUGCUAUUCAACGAAAUUAUAGACGGAUUUUGAAAUUUGGUUUUUGUAAAUGUGGUUUAUAUAGUGUCUGAAGAAGUAGCAUGGAUAGUGAUGGAAAACUGUUCAAGCGGUAUGGUCUGGAAGUGUUGAAUGAAAUAAAAUGAUACGCUAUUGAACCAAUAUGUCGGAAGUAUGGUGGAAAUCUACUUUAUAGACGUUUUAUGCAGGUAUACGAAAAGGUCGCAUGGAUUGAGAUGGUAUAUAUAAAAAUAGAAGCUUUUGAAGUGGUGUGAUGAAAAGGAGUUGAAUGAGAUACAAAUACUGAUGUGCCACGUAACCAAGUUAUAGAAGUAUAGUGAAAAUUGUUUAUAUGGACGUGCUUACGGUGGUAUACGAAGAACCUCCAUAUGUCGCGACACCGUAACGGCAUGGUUGAAAGGAGUUGCAUGAAACACGUUUAAUGACACACUAUUGUACGAGGAUAUCGAAGCAUGUAGGAACCUUAUUUCAUAGGUGUACUUUGGUGAUCAGUGAAGUAGCAUCGCUCGAGAUUGUCUAGACGUAAAGAAAGACUGUUGUUUAAAGGGUAUAUUUGAAAGCUGUCCAAUGAAAUAUGCAUAGCAAUAGUCUAUUGAAUCAAGGUAUCGAGGCAUGAUGGAAGUUCAUAUAGGCACAAUUACAACGGUACACAAAAAAAUGGGAUGAGUUGAGAUGUUAUAUAAUAAAAAAAAGGUUGAUAUGGUGUGAUCAAAGGGAGUUCAGUGAGAAACAAAGAAUGAUGUGUUAUUCAACGAAAUUAUGGAAGCAUGUUGAAAUUUGGUUUUGUAAAUGUGCUUUAUAUAAUGUUUGAAGAAGUAGCAUGGCUAGGUGAGGGAGAACUGUUCAAGCGGUAUGGUCUCACAUUUUCGGCCAGUGUACGAAGAGGUCGUAUGGAUUGAGAUUUUAUAUAUAAAAACGAAAGCUUUUGAAGUGGUGUGAUAAAAAGGAGUUGAAUGAGCUACAAAUAAUAAUAUGCCAAUUAACCAAGUUAUAGAAGAAUAGUGAAAAUUUAUACGAACGUAGUUACGGGUGGUAUUCAAAGAAGCUCCAUAUGUCGUGAUGGUAUGUAAAUAGAGUAAAAUGUUGGCCGUAAUAGUAUGGUUGAUAGGAGUUGAAUGAAAAACGUGUAAUGACACACUAUGGUGCGAGGAUAUCGAAGUAUGUUGAAAAUUUAUUUCAUAGGCGUAGUUUGGCUUCAAAACGAAGUAGCUUCGCUCAAGAUGGAUCUACAUGCAAAAAUAGACUUUUUAAACGGUAUAUUUAAAAGCUGUGAAUUUAUAUGUGCAUGGAAAUAGUCUUUUGAAUCAAGGUAUCGAGGCAUGAUGGAAUUUGAUAUAGGCGCACUUACAACGGUACACAAAGUAGCAUGGGCUGAGAUAUUAUAUAUAAAGACAUAAAACGGUCAAAACGGUGUGAUCAAAAGGAGUUGAAUGAGAUGAAAAUACUGGUGUGCCAUUUAACCAAGAUGUAUGUGAAAAGUUUUUACAAGGACGUACUUACAGUGGUAUUCGAAGAAGCUCCAUAUGUCGUGAUGGUAUGUAUAUAGAGUGAAACAUUGGCCGUAACGGUAUGGUUGAUAGGAGUUGAAUGAAAAACAUGUAAUGACACACUAUUGUACGAGCAUAUCGAAGGAUGUAGGAAAUUUAUUUCAUAGGCGUACUUUGGUGUUCAGUGAAGUAGCAUCGCUCGAGAUGGUCUAGACGUAAAGAAAGACUGUUGCUUAAAUGGUAUAUUUGAAACCUGUCAAAUGAAAUAUGCAUAGCAAUAGUCUAUUGAAUCAAGGUAUCGAGGCAUGAUGGAAGUUCAUAUAGGUGCAAUUACAACUGUACAUGAAUUUGCAUGGGUUGAGAUGCUAUACAUAAAAAAAAAGUGUUGAAACGGAGUGAUCAAAGGGAGUUCAAUGAGAAACAAAUGAUGUGCUAUUCAACGAAAUUAUGGAUGCAUGUUGAAAUUUGGUUUUUGUAAAUGUGCUUUAUAUAGUGUUUGAAGAAGUAGCAUGGAUAGUGAUGGAAAACUGUUCAAGCGGUCUGGUCUGGAAAUGUUGAAUGAAAUAAUAAUGAUACGCUAUUAAACCAAUAUAUCGGAAGUAUGGUGGAAAUUACUUUAUAGACGUUUUAUGCUGGUAUACGAAAAGGUCGCAUGGAUUUAGAUGGUAUAUAUAAAAAUAGAAGCUUUUGAAGUGGUGUGAUGAAAAGGAGUUGAAUGAGAUACAAAUACUGAUGUGCCAUGUAACCAAGUUAUAGCAGUAUAGUGAAAAUUGUUUAUAUCGACAUGCUUACGGUGGUAUUCGAAGAACCUCCAUAUGUCGCGACACCGUAACGGCAUGGUUGAAAGGAGUUGCAUGAAAGACGUUUAAUGACACACUAUUGUACGAGGAUAUCGAAGCAUGUAGGAACCUUAUUUCAUAGGUGUACUUUGGUGUUCAGUGAAGUAGCAUCGCUCGAGAUUGUCUAGACGUAAAGAAAGACUGUUGUUUAAAUGGUAUAUUUGAAAGCUGUCCAAUGAAAUAUGCAUAGCAAUAGUCUAUUGAAUCAAGGUAUCGAGGUAUGAUGGAAGUUCAUAUAGGCACAAUUACAACGGUACACAAAGAAGUGGGAUGAGUUGAGAUGUUAUAUAAUAAAAAAAAGGUUGAUAUGGUGUGAUCAAAGGGAGUUCAGUGAGAAACAAUGAUGUGUUAUUCAACGAAAUUAUGGAAGCGUGUUGAAAUUUGGUUUUGUAAAUGCGCUUUAUAUAAUGUUUGAAGAAGUAGCAUGGCUACUGAGGGAAAACUGUUCAAGCGGUAUGGUCUGAAAGUGUUGGAUGAAAUAAUAAUAAUGAUACGCUAUUGAACCAUUCUAUCGAAGUAUGGUGGAAGUGGGUUUUAGACACUUUCGGCCGGUGUACGAAGAGUUCGCAUGGAUUGUGAUGGUAUAUAUAAAAAUGAAAGCUUUUGAAGUGGUGUGAUCAAAAGGAGUUGAAUGAGAUACAAAUAAUAAUAGGCCAAUUAACCAAGUUAUAGAAGAAUAGUGAAAACUUUUAUACGAACGUACUUACUGUGGUAUUGAAUGAAGCUCCAUUUGUCGUAAUGGUAUAUAAAUAUAUUAAAAUGGUGCCCGUAACAGUAUCGUUGAAGGGAGUUGAAUGAAAAACGUGUAACGACACACUAUUGUACAAGGGUAUCGAAGUAUGUUGAAAAUUUAUUUCAUAGGCGUACUUUGGUGUUCACUGAAGUAGCAUCGCUCGAGAUGGUCUAGACAUAAAAGAAAGACUGUUGUUUAAACGGUAUGGUUGAAAGCUAUCAAAUUGAACAUGCAUUGAAAUAGUCUAUUGAAUAGAGGAAUGAUGGAAGUUGGUAUAGGCGCAUUUACAACAAGAAGUAGCAUGGGUCGAGAUGGUAUAUAUAAAAAUAAAAGCUUUUGAAGUGGUGUGAUCAAAAGGAGUUCAGUGAGAUACAAAUACUGAUCUGCCAUUUAACCAAGUUAUAGAAGCAUAGUGAAAAUUGUUUAUAUAGACGUAGAUACAGUGGUAUUUGAGAAAUCUCCAUAUGGUCGUGAUGGUACAUAAAUAGCAAGAAACGCUGGCUGUGCCCGUACGGUUUGAAGGAGCUGAUGUACGAGUAACACUACGCUAUUGAACCAAGUAAUCGAAGCACGGUGGAAAUUGAUGGACGCAUUUACAUUGGUAUUCAACGUAGGACAAAGUGGUGAGACCAUAAAUUACUGCAGUUUUUGAAAUGGUAUGGUGAAAAAGGGAGUUGAAUGAAAUACCAGUAAGCGUGGUGGAAAUAUAUUUCUAAGCGUACUUACAGUGCUAUGCGAUCAAGUGUAGUGUUGGUCGAGGCUGUUUAUGUAUGGUGUGUGAAAUUUAUUCUUGUAAAUCGAUAAGCCCGCUGUUCAAUCGAAAUAUCACUGUAUACCUGAAGUUUGUUUCAUAGACGUGGCUAUAUGGUAUUUGAGAAAAAGAAACUGGACAAUACAUAUAUAUAUAAAUAAUGAAAAAGAGUGGUUGAAAUGAUAAAGUUGAAAUCAGUGCAAUGAGCAGUCAAUAACAAGAGGCAUUUAUUCAGAAUAUCGCAGUAUACGAGAAACUGGCUUCAUAGACAUGCAUAUAUUGGUGCUUGUAAAAUAGGAUGGGUCGAGAUGUAUAUCAAUAAUGCGAGACAUUGGAUUACAGAAUGUUGUUGAAAUCAGUACAACGAAAAAUGGUUAAUACUUGAAACAUGAAUGUCACAGUCCCCCAUAAAAUAUUUUCAAUGGCUUGUAUAUAAUGGCAAUUUGAAUAAUUGGCGUGGGUUGGUUUGCAAGGUGAUGUGAAAAGGUGGCUGGAAUCCGUGCAGUAUGAUGCAGCGAUAUGCUUUUGAAGGAAAGAUCACAGUAAAAGUUGAAUUCAUAAACGUCCUUAUCUUAAUAUUCAAUGGAGUAGCGUGAGUUGAGUUUGUAUAUAUGUAACGAAAAACUGCUAGUUGAAAAGAUAUGAAUAACAAUGACACGCGUUUGAACUGAGGUAUCGAAACGUGGUGGUAAUUGAUUUUAUAAACGUUUUAGGCUGGUAUACGAAGAAGUACCAUGGAUUAGGAGGGUAUAUAUAUAUAUAUAUAAAAAAUAUUUUGUAAUGGAGUGUUCAAAACCACUUGAAAGAGAUACAAAUAAUAGAAUUGUGGUGAAAAUUGAUUUCAUAGACGUAGUUACAGUGGUAUUCAAAGAACCUUCGUAGGCCGUUAUCGUACAUAAGAGGAAAACUGUGGCCAUAUGAUGCACUAUUGCCUGAGGAUAAGGAAGCACGUUGGAAAUUUAUUUCAUAGGUGUACUUUGGUGCUCAGCGAAGUAGCAUCAAUAGAGUUUGUCUACACGUAAAGAAAGACUGUUGUUUAAAAGGUAUAUUUGAAAGCUGUCAAAUUAUAUAUGCAUACAAAUAAUCUUUUGAAUCAAGGAAUGAUGGCAGUUGAUAUAGGUGCAAUUACAACGGUACAUCAAGAAGUUGCAUGGGCUGAGAUGCUACACAUAAAAGAAACUGUUGAAACGGAGUGAUCAAAGGGAGUUCAAUGAGAAAGAAAUGAUGUGCUAUUCAACGAAAUUAUAGACGGAUUUUGAAAUUUGGUUUUUGUAAAUGUGGUUUAUAUAGUGUCUGAAGAAGUAGCAUGGAUAGUGAUGGAAAACUGUUCAAGCGGUAUGGUCUGGAAGUGUUGAAUGAAAUAAAAUGAUACGCUAUUGAACCAAUAUGUCGGAAGUAUGGUGGAAAUCUACUUUAUAGACGUUUUAUGCAGGUAUACGAAAAGGUCGCAUGGAUUGAGAUGGUAUAUAUAAAAAUAGAAGCUUUUGAAGUGGUGUGAUGAAAAGGAGUUGAAUGAGAUACAAGUACUGAUGUGCCACGUAACCAAGUUAUAGAAGUAUAGUGAAAAUUGUUUAUAUGGACGUGCUUACGGUGGUAUACGAAGAACCUCCAUAUGUUGCGACACCGUAACGGCAUGGUUGAAAGGAGUUGCAUGAAACACGUUUAAUGACACACUAUUGUACGAGGAUAUCGAAGCAUGUAGGAACCUUAUUUCAUAGGUGUACUUUGGUGAUCAGUGAAGUAGCAUCGCUCGAGAUUGUCUAGACGUAAAGAAAGACUGUUGUUUAAAGGGUAUAUUUGAAAGCUGUCCAAUGAAAUAUGCAUAGCAAUAGUCUAUUGAAUCAAGGUAUCGAGGCAUGAUGGAAGUUCAUAUAGGCACAAUUACAACGGUACACAAAAAAAUGGGAUGAGUUGAGAUGUUAUAUAAUAAAAAAAAGGUUGAUAUGGUGUGAUCAAAGGGAGUUCAGUGAGAAACAAAGAAUGAUGUGUUAUUCAACGAAAUUAUGGAAGCAUGUUGAAAUUUGGUUUUGUAAAUGUGCUUUAUAUAAUGUUUGAAGAAGUAGCAUGGCUAGGUGAGGGAGUACUGUUCAAGCGGUAUGGUCUCACAUUUUCGGCCAGUGUACGAAGAGGUCGUAUGGAUUGAGAUUUUAUAUAUAAAAACGAAAGCUUUUGAAGUGGUGUGAUAAAAAGGAGUUGAAUGAGCUACAAAUAAUAAUAUGCCAAUUAACCAAGUUAUAGAAGAAUAGUGAAAAUUUAUACGAACGUAGUUACGGGUGGUAUUCAAAGAAGCUCCAUAUGUCGUGAUGGUAUGUAAAUAGAGUAAAAUGUUGGCCGUAAUAGUAUGGUUGAUAGGAGUUGAAUGAAAAACGUGUAAUGACACACUAUGGUACGAGGAUAUCGAAGUAUGUUGAAAAUUUAUUUCAUAGGCGUAGUUUGGCUUCAAAACGAAGUAGCUUCGCUCAAGAUGGAUCUACAUGCAAAAAUAGACUUUUUAAACGGUAUAUUUAAAAGCUGUGAAUUUAUAUGUGCAUGGAAAUAGUCUUUUGAAUCAAGGUAUCGAGGCAUGAUGGAAUUUGAUAUAGGCGCACUUACAACGGUACACAAAGUAGCAUGGGCUGAGAUAUUAUAUAUAAAGACAUAAAACGGUCAAAACGGUGUGAUCAAAAGGAGUUGAAUGAGAUGAAAAUACUGGUGUGCCAUUUAACCAAGAUGUAUGUGAAAAGUUUUUACAAGGACGUACUUACAGUGGUAUUCGAAGAAGCUCCAUAUGUCGUGAUGGUAUGUAUAUAGAGUGAAACAUUGGCCGUAACGGUAUGGUUGAUAGGAGUUGAAUGAAAAACAUGUAAUGACACACUAUUGUACGAGCAUAUCGAAGGAUGUAGGAAAUUUAUUUCAUAGGCGUACUUUGGUGUUCAGUGAAGUAGCAUCGCUCGAGAUGGUCUAGACGUAAAGAAAGACUGUUGCUUAAAUGGUAUAUUUGAAACCUGUCAAAUGAAAUAUGCAUAGCAAUAGUCUAUUGAAUCAAGGUAUCGAGGCAUGAUGGAAGUUCAUAUAGGUGCAAUUACAACUGUACAUGAAUUUGCAUGGGUUGAGAUGCUAUACAUAAAAAAAAAGUGUUGAAACGGAGUGAUCAAAGGGAGUUCAAUGAGAAACAAAUGAUGUGCUAUUCAACGAAAUUAUGGAUGCAUGUUGAAAUUUGGUUUUUGUAAAUGUGCUUUAUAUAGUGUUUGAAGAAGUAGCAUGGAUAGUGAUGGAAAACUGUUCAAGCGGUCUGGUCUGGAAAUGUUGAAUGAAAUAAUAAUGAUACGCUAUUAAACCAAUAUAUCGGAAGUAUGGUGGAAAUUACUUUAUAGACGUUUUAUGCUGGUAUACGAAAAGGUCGCAUGGAUUUAGAUGGUAUAUAUAAAAAUAGAAGCUUUUGAAGUGGUGUGAUGAAAAGGAGUUGAAUGAGAUACAAAUACUGAUGUGCCAUGUAACCAAGUUAUAGCAGUAUAGUGAAAAUUGUUUAUAUCGACAUGCUUACGGUGGUAUUCGAAGAACCUCCAUAUGUCGCGACACCGUAACGGCAUGGUUGAAAGGAGUUGCAUGAAAGACGUUUAAUGACACACUAUUGUACGAGGAUAUCGAAGCAUGUAGGAACCUUAUUUCAUAGGUGUACUUUGGUGUUCAGUGAAGUAGCAUCGCUCGAGAUUGUCUAGACGUAAAGAAAGACUGUUGUUUAAAUGGUAUAUUUGAAAGCUGUCCAAUGAAAUAUGCAUAGCAAUAGUCUAUUGAAUCAAGGUAUCGAGGUAUGAUGGAAGUUCAUAUAGGCACAAUUACAACGGUACACAAAGAAGUGGGAUGAGUUGAGAUGUUAUAUAAUAAAAAAAAAGGUUGAUAUGGUGUGAUCAAAGGGAGUUCAGUGAGAAACAAUGAUGUGUUAUUCAACGAAAUUAUGGAAGCGUGUUGAAAUUUGGUUUUGUAAAUGCGCUUUAUAUAAUGUUUGAAGAAGUAGCAUGGCUACUGAGGGAAAACUGUUCAAGCGGUAUGGUCUGAAAGUGUUGGAUGAAAUAAUAAUAAUGAUACGCUAUUGAACCAUUCUAUCGAAGUAUGGUGGAAGUGGGUUUUAGACACUUUCGGCCGGUGUACGAAGAGUUCGCAUGGAUUGUGAUGGUAUAUAUAAAAAUGAAAGCUUUUGAAGUGGUGUGAUCAAAAGGAGUUGAAUGAGAUACAAAUAAUAAUAGGCCAAUUAACCAAGUUAUAGAAGAAUAGUGAAAACUUUUAUACGAACGUACUUACUGUGGUAUUGAAUGAAGCUCCAUUUGUCGUAAUGGUAUAUAAAUAUAUUAAAAUGGUGCCCGUAACAGUAUCGUUGAAGGGAGUUGAAUGAAAAACGUGUAACGACACACUAUUGUACAAGGGUAUCGAAGUAUGUUGAAAAUUUAUUUCAUAGGUGUAGUUUGGUUUCAAAACGAAGUAGCAUCGCUCAAGAUGAUCUAAAUGUAAAAAUAGACUUGUUUAAACAGUAUAUUUAAAAGCUGUGAACUUAUAUUUGCAUGGAAACAGUCUAUUGAAUCCAGGUAUCGAGGCAUGAUGGAAUUUGAUAUAGGCGCACUUACAAUAAUACACAAAGUAGCAUGGGUUGAGAUGAUAUAUAUAUCGACAAAAAAUGGUCAAAAAGGUGUGAUUAAAAGGAGUUGAAUAAGAUAAAAAUACUGGUGUGCCAUUUAACCAAGAAGUAUAGUGAAAAGUGUUUAUAAGGACGUACUUACAGUGGUAUUCGAAGAAGCUCCAUAUGUCGUGAGGUAUGUACAUAGAGUGAAACGUUGGCCGUAACGGUAUGGUUGAUAGGAAUUGAAUGAAAAGCGUGUAACGACACACCAUUGUACGAGCAUAUCGAAGCACGUAGGAAAUUUAUUUCAUAGGCGUACUUUGGUGUUCACUGAAGUAGCAUCGCUCGAGAUGGUCUAGACAUAAAAGAAAGACUGUUGUUUAAACGGUAUGGUUGAAAGCUAUCAAAUUGAACAUGCAUUGAAAUAGUCUAUUGAAUAGAGGAAUGAUGGAAGUUGGUAUAGGCGCAUUUACAACAAGAAGUAGCAUGGGUCGAGAUGGUAUAUAUAAAAAUAAAAGCUUUUGAAGUGGUGUGAUCAAAAGGAGUUCAGUGAGAUACAAAUACUGAUCUGCCAUUUAACCAAGUUAUAGAAGCAUAGUGAAAAUUGUUUAUAUAGACGUAGAUACAGUGGUAUUUGAGAAAUCUCCAUAUGGUCGUGAUGGUACAUAAAUAGCAAGAAACGCUGGCUGUGCCCGUACGGUUUGAAGGAGCUGAUGUACGAGUAACACUACGCUAUUGAACCAAGUAAUCGAAGCACGGUGGAAAUUGAUGGACGCAUUUACAUUGGUAUUCAACGUAGGACAAAGUGGUGAGACCAUAAAUUACUGCAGUUUUUGAAAUGGUAUGGUGAAAAAGGGAGUUGAAUGAAAUACCAGUAAGCGUGGUGGAAAUAUAUUUCUAAGCGUACUUACAGUGCUAUGCGAUCAAGUGUAGUGUUGGUCGAGGCUGUUUAUGUAUGGUGUGUGAAAUUUAUUCUUGUAAAUCGAUAAGCCCGCUGUUCAAUCGAAAUAUCACUGUAUACCUGAAGUUUGUUUCAUAGACGUGGCUAUAUGGUAUUUGAGAAAAAGAAACUGGACAAUACAUAUAUAUAUAAUAAUGAAAAAGAGUGGUUGAAAUGAUAAAGUUGAAAUCAGUGCAAUGAGCAGUCAAUAACAAGAGGCAUUUAUUCAGAAUAUCGCAGUAUACGAGAAACUGGCUUCAUAGACAUGCAUAUAUUGGUGCUUGUAAAAUAGGAUGGGUCGAGAUGUAUAUCAAUAAUGCGAGACAUUGGAUUACAGAAUGUUGUUGAAAUCAGUACAACGAAAAAUGGUUAAUACUUGAAACAUGAAUGUCACAGUCCCCCAUAAAAUAUUUUCAAUGGCUUGUAUAUAAUGGCAAUUUGAAUAAUUGGCGUGGGUUGGUUUGCAAGGUGAUGUGAAAAGGUGGCUGGAAUCCGUGCAGUAUGAUGCAGCGAUAUGCUUUUGAAGGAAAGAUCACAGUAAAAGUUGAAUUCAUAAACGUCCUUAUCUUAAUAUUCAAUGGAGUAGCGUGAGUUGAGUUUGUAUAUAUGUAACGAAAAACUGCUAGUUGAAAAGAUAUGAAUAACAAUGACACGCGUUUGAACUGAGGUAUCGAAACGUGGUGGUAAUUGAUUUUAUAAACGUUUUAGGCUGGUAUACGAAGAAGUACCAUGGAUUAGGAGGGUAUAUAUAUAUAUAUAAAAAAUAUUUUGUAAUGGAGUGUUCAAAACCACUUGAAAGAGAUACAAAUAAUAGAAUUGUGGUGAAAAUUGAUUUCAUAGACGUAGUUACAGUGGUAUUCAAAGAACCUUCGUAGGCCGUUAUCGUACAUAAGAGGAAAACUGUGGCCAUAUGAUGCACUAUUGCCUGAGGAUAAGGAAGCACGUUGGAAAUUUAUUUCAUAGGUGUACUUUGGUGCUCAGCGAAGUAGCAUCAAUAGAGUUUGUCUACACGUAAAGAAAGACUGUUGUUUAAAAGGUAUAUUUGAAAGCUGUCAAAUUA